AAAAUUAUCUGGGUGAAAAGUAUCUUGAUUGGGAAGGUGAUCCUCCCAUGGCAAAGGUUUAGCUUUUUCACUCUGUUAGGAAUGACCUCUGUCAUUUUUCCAAACUUGAGAAACUCAACUUCUGACUCUGUGAAAGAUACAGUGUUCUCUGUUC
rnacentral:snRNA from 1 species